UAACAGUGAUGAGCUACCACUUCAGGUCCGUGUUUUUGAAAUUUCAUGAUAUUCACCGAAGUUCUGAGUCU
rnacentral:snoRNA from 1 species